UAUGCAGCAUAGAUAUUCCUGGUAAUUGCUCUUUGCUUUUCUGUAUGUAUCAUCUCUCCUCAGCCCUGUCUCCACAUGCAAACAUGUCUGAUCACCAGAGUGGGAAGUGAUAAAGAACAUGUGGACUUUUAUGGUCUUCAGUGAUCUUCCAGGUUGGAGUGGCCCUAACUGCAUGUCAGUGAGAGAAAAAUAACCUGUGGUAAAAAGGAAUAAAAGGAGGUCUGGGCUUAACCCAUGCUGUGGGGAAAUACAGGAAAACUGCAUCUGAACUCACUGUGACAGAAAUGAGGAUGGAAUAGGAGAGAGUAUAUAUCUGAGGUUUAAUCCCAUCAAUGGGAUGGAUCUCUUCUUGCUAGAAACUAUUGGAUUGGAAAUUCUAAAUCAGUCUUUUCCAGAUUGGCCUGUUCUAUCUUCUCUCUCAAAGCUAGAAGCCAGGAGCACCUAAAACAACUUGAUGCUGUAAGAAGACUGACUUUAAGGAAAGUGGGGAAAGGCAUUCAUCUCUACUCAUAAGGAGAGUGUCCUAUAACACUGGAUCUUGGGAUGGAGGGAUUAUAUAAACAAAGGCAAUCCUGAAAUGCAGCAGGAGUCUGAUUAAUUGCAAUGAUUAGUUUUGUCCAUAGAGUACAGAUGAAGGAACAUUAUUCAUUCAGUCAACCAAAAAGUAUU